AUUGAACGCUGGCGGCAGGCCUAACACAUGCAAGUCGAGCGAGCGGCGGACGGGUGAGUAAUACCUAGGAAUCUGCCUGGUAGUGGGGGAUAACGUUCGGAAACGGGCCCUAAUACCGCAUACCAUCAGCUGAACCCAUCUGGGAUUAGCUGGUAGGUGAGGUAAUGGCUCACCAAGGCGACGAUCCCUAACUGGUCUGAGAGGAUGAUCAGCCACACUGGGACUGAGACACGGCCCAGACUCAUACGGGAGGCAGCAGUGGGGAAUAUUGCACAAUGGGCGAAAGCCUGAUGCAGCCAUGCCGCGUGUAUGAAGAAGGCCUUCGGGUUGUAAAGUACUUUCAGUCGGGAGGCGUUACCGACAGAAGAAGCACCGGCUAACUCCGUGCCAGCAGCCGCGGUAAUAC
rnacentral:rRNA from 1 species